rnacentral:rRNA from 1 species
AGGACGAACGCUGGCGGCGUGCUUAACACAUGCAAGUCGAGCGGAAAGGCCCUUCGGGGUACUCGAGCGGCGAACGGGUGAGUAACACGUGAGUAAUCUGCCCCUAGCUCUGGGAUAGCUCCGGGAAACCGGGAUUAAUACCAGAUACGACCACUUUAGACAUCUACUGUGGUGGAAAGAAUUUCGGCUAGGGAUGAGCUCGCGGCCUAUCAGCUUGUUGGUGAGGUAACGGCUCACCAAGGCGACGACGGGUAGCCGGCCUGAGAGGGCGACCGGCCACACUGGGACUGAGACACGGCCCAGACUCCUACGGGAGGCAGCAGUGGGGAAUAUUGCGCAAUGGGCGAAAGCCUGACGCAGCGACGCCGCGUGGGGGAUGAAGGCCUUCGGGUUGUAAACCCUUUCAGCAGGGACGAAGCGAAAGUGACGGUACCUGCAGAAGAAGCGCCGGCUAACUACGUGCCAGCAGCCGC